rnacentral:rRNA from 1 species
CAGGCCUAACACAUGCAAGUCGAGCGGACAGAUAAGGAGCUUGCUCCUUUGAAGUCAGCGGCGGACGGGUGAGUAACACGUGGGCAACCUGCCUAUAAGACUGGGAUAACUCCGGGAAACCGGGGCUAAUACCGGAUAGAUUCUUUCCUCUCAUGAGGAAAGAAGGAAAGACGGUUUCGGCUGUCACUUAUAGAUGGGCCCGCGGCGCAUUAGCUAGUUGGUAAGGUAACGGCUUACCAAGGCGACGAUGCGUAGCCGACCUGAGAGGGUGAUCGGCCACACUGGGACUGAGACACGGCCCAGACUCCUACGGGAGGCAGCAGUAGGGAAUCUUCCGCAAUGGACGAAAGUCUGACGGAGCAACGCCGCGUGAACGAAGAAGGCCUUCGGGUCGUAGAGUUCUGUUGUUAGGGAAGAACAAGUACGAUAGUAACUGAUCGUACCUUGACGGUACCUAACCAGAAAGCCACGGCUAACUACGUGCCAGCAGCCGCGGUAAU